rfam:Eimeria necatrix Houghton genomic scaffold, Enh_scaff761
CCUCUGCUGCUGCCGCUGCUGCAGCUGCUGCAGCUGCAGCUGCUGCUACUGCUGCUGCUGCAGCUGCUGCAGCAGCUGUUGCUGCUCUUGCUGCAGCGGCAGCUGCUGCAGCGGCUGCAGCUGCAGCAGCUGCAGCUGCAGCAGCUGCAGCUGCAGCAGCUGCAGCUGCAGCAGCUGCAGCUGCAGCAGCUGCAGCUGCAGCAGCUGCUGCAGCAGCUGCUGCUGCUGCAGCAGCAGCAGCAGCUGCUGCUGCUG